AACGAACGCUGGCGGCAUGCCUAACACAUGCAAGUCGAACGAGACCUUCGGGUCUAGGGGCGCACGGGUGCGUAACGCGUGGGAACCUGCCCUUAGGUUCGGAAUAACUCCCCGAAAGGGGUGCCAAUACCGGAUAAUGUCUUCGGACCAAAGAUUUAUCGCCUUUGGAUGGGCCCGCGUUGGAUUAGCUAGUUGGUAGGGUAAAAGCCUACCAAGGCGACGAUCCAUAGCUGGUCUGAGAGGAUGAUCAGCCACACUGGGACUGAGACACGGCCCAGACUCCUACGGGAGGCAGCAGUGGGGAAUAUUGGACAAUGGGCGAAAGCCUGAUCCAGCAAUGCCGCGUGAGUGAUGAAGGCCUUAGGGUUGUAAAGCUCUUUUACCCGGGAUGAUAAUGACAGUACCGGGAGAAUAAGCACCGGCUAACUCCGUG
rnacentral:rRNA from 1 species